GGGGGGGGGGGGGGGGGGGGGGGGGGGGGGGGGGGGGGGGGGGGGGGGGGGGGGGGGGGGGGGGGGGGGGGGGGGGGGGGGGGGGGGGGGGGGGGGGGGGGGGGGGGGGGGGGGGGGGGGGGGGGGGGGGGGGGGGGGGGGGGGGGGGGGGGGGGGGGGGGGGGGGGGGGGGGGGGGGGGGGGGGGGGGGGGGGGGGGGGGGGGGGGGGGGGGGGGGGGGGGGGGGGGGGGGGGGGGGGGGGGGGGGGGGGGGGGGGGGGGGGGGGGGGGGGGGGGGGGGGGGGGGGGGGGGGGGGGGGGGGGGGGGGGGGGGGGGGGGGGGAGAAUCGCGGCUUCAAACCCAUCUGCGUGCUUUGCUGGCAGCACCCCGGAACUUCGGGGGAGCGCGUCAAGCGCCGGGCGUUGGGAGAGGCUUUCGUCAACGAGCCCUCUAGUGAAAUACAGAUACGAGACAUGUCCUCGGGUGUGCGGGCUAUUUAUAGCAGCUGGCUCAUGGUGCUCGCCAUUCCUCUGGCGCUGGGUAUGUGAACUGUGCAUAAACAACUGCCCUUUUAUCAGCUCCGAAGGCCUGGCCUCUGACGCCUGGAUGACUGAUCUUGGUGGAUUAUUGUGUUGCCAUCUCAGCUGUGGAAGGAAAGGCCACCAGCACCCUUUAUUAUUGGGUCAGCUUCCUAACCGAAAACUUGUGUCAUUUCUUCCCAGCAAUGAGCCACUUGUCAGGAAUAGCAGAACAUUUUCCACUGCGAACUCAAAACUCAUCCCUUGGCUGAUGCACCCUUAUUUUAAUGGUGCUAUGAGGAUUUACAGCAAUAGCAGGUCCCUAAUUUUUCAUUUAUUUUUUUCCCGUGGUGUUGCACACCCUUUUUCUGUAUGCGGACAGAAGUUGCUUUUGCUCUCCCUUAAGUGCUUCCCUCGGUCAGACCUCCUGUGGUCCACCUACAUAUUCAGUCCAGAAUACACCUUACUCAGGGAAGGGAGAAUAUAAAACAAGAGCCCUGGUGGAGGAUUGAUACUUUAACCUUCAGGUUCUUGCUUCUGUACUUUCAGAUAUGUUGGGCCUUACUUGAGUUAGCAGUCACAGGAAACUGCAGGAGUUACUCUAAAGCAGCCCCGAUAGAUCUAAUUCUGUCUUGAGGGCACAGGGUUACCUUAAAUGACCUCUUAGGAUCCCUUCCAGCCUUACUUAUUACUCCAUUACAUUGCGCUGUUAACCCCAUCAUAUUUAUGGGUACAAAAGACAGGAUAACCACUCA
rnacentral:lncRNA from 1 species